ensembl:misc_RNA 7SK 7SK RNA
GGAUGGGAAGGCAAUUUGGCUGCGAUAUCUGUCACCUCAUUGUUCAACAGGGUUGAUUCAGCUGAUCUGGCUGGCUAGGCAGAUAUCCCCUUCCUCCCUUACUGCUCCAUGUGCAUACCUCCUGAAGCUAUGUGCUCAAAGGAGGACCAUUUCCUCCAUGAAGGGUAUACGAUACGAGUACCUGUGCUCCCCUGCUAGAACCUUCAAACAAACUUUUAAAGAAUCACAGGAAAAAGCUAGCAAAAAUGACAGCAAAACCAGACAAAUUAGCUAUUACAAUACAAUUAUUAAUAGAAUAAUCUUCUAU